AUGCCUGUGUGUCUACUUUCCUCAAUCAGUGAUGUUGCUUGGCUGUGGCAUGCUCGUUAUGGGCAUCUGAACUUUGAUGCUUUGAGGUCCCUUGCACAACACAACAUGGUGGAUGGUCUCCCUCUUGUGAAACAAGUUGACAAGGUGUGUGAUGGGUGUUUGGUUGGAAAACAGCGGCGUGCUCCAUUUCCUAAACAAUCAGUCUAUCGUGCAGGAAAUGGUUUAGAGCUUGUGCAUGCUGACCUGUGUGGUCCAAUCUCACCACCCACACCAGCAGGAAAUAGAUACUUCCUGUUAAUUGUCGAUGACAAGAGUCGCUUCAUGUGGGGUGCACUGCUGAGAACCAAGGACCAAGCCUUUGUGGCGUUCAGAAAGUUCAAGGUUGCAGCUGAAUUGGAAAGUGGUCUGAAUCUGAAAAUGUUGCGUACUGACAGAGGUGGCGAGUUCACCUCUGUUGAAUUUAAUUCUUUCUGCGAGGAUCAUGGGAUAAGAAGGCAGCUCACUGCACCGUAUACUCCACAGCAAAAUGGUGUAGUAGAAAGAAGAAAUCAAACCGUGGUUGCAAUGGCCAGAUGCUUACUAAAGAGUCAAAACUUACCUGGCAGUUUUUGGGGGGAGGCAGUGGCAACGUCGAUUUAUUUGUUGAAUCGAGCUCCUACCAAAAGUGUCGCAGGGAUGACACCUUAUGAAUCAUGGCAUGGCCACAAGCCAAGUGUGAAACAUCUCCGCACUUUCGGUUGUUUGGCUCAUGUGAAAGUUACAGGACCCUCAGGUGGCAAGCUGGCUGACAGAAGCAAACCUAUGGUUAUGAUUGGGUAUGAAAAGGGCUCCAAGGCAUAUAGAUUACAUAACCCAGAUUCAGGGAAAGUUUGCGUGUCUCGGGGUGUAGUGUUUGAAGAAGCAAAGGGGUGGAAUUGGGAAGGUGUAGAAGGGCAUGUAGACAACACCGACGAAAAUUGGUUCACGGUUCAUACUGAACCAGAACCAAUGAGUUACUCGGAUGAACCACAUAUGCAAGAAGCUGGGGCAGACUCACCGAAUAUUGAGCUUGAAGCACCAGGAGCACCUUUAGUGAAUCCAGACCUUGAAACACCUGAGACAGUAGUGAAAACUAGAAGCCUUGAUGAAUUAUAUGAUGCUACUUCACCAAGAUGGAGUCCAGCGGACUUUGAUCAUAUGGAGGAUCUUGAGUUGUGCAUGCUUGGUGCUGAUGAACCUGGAAGUCACAUCGAAGCAUUGAAACAUGACUCAUGGAAGCAAGCCAUGGAAGAAGAAAUGAAGUCCAUCCAUGAGAAUGAAACAUGGCAACUGGACACUCUUCCUGCAGGUGCAAAAGCAAUUGGCUUGAAAUGGGUUUUCAAGUUAAAAAAGGAUGCAGCUGGAAAUGUUGUGAAGCACAAAGCUCGACUCGUUGCUAAAGGGUAUGUGCAGCGUCAAGGGUUAGACUUUGAUGAAGUUUUUGCUCCAGUUGCUAGGAUGGAUACAGUAAGACUGCUGAUUGCACUAGCAGCUCAUGAAAAUUGGGAAGUUCAUCAUAUUGAUGUAAAAUCUGCAUUCCUCAACGGUGUACUAGAGGAGGAAGUAUUUGUUGCACAGCCUCCGGGGUUUGAGGAAAGAAGCAGUGGGAACAAAGUUCUAAGGCUAAAGAAAGCACUGUAUGGGCUUCAUCAGGCUCCAAGAGCAUGGAAUGUGAAACUGGAUCAUACUCUCUUGUCACUUGGUUUUGAGAGAAGUCCUCUAGAACAUGCAGUUUACAAGCGCAAGACUGGAAGUACUCGUUUGCUUGUAGGUGUUUAUGUUGACGAUCUGAUCAUUACUGGGUCAAAUGAAGAUGAGCUACUGAAAUUCAAAUUGCAAAUGAAAGAUUUGUUCAGUAUGAGUGACCUUGGGUUAUUGACAUAUUACCUUGGCAUCGAAGUUGACCAGUCCAAAAAAGGGAUAACAUUGUGCCAAUCGGGUUAUGCCAUGAAAAUCCUUGAGAGAAUUGGAAUGUCUGAUUGCAACAUUGUUCAUAUCCCUAUGGAGCAAAGGAUGAAGCUGAGUAAGAAUUGUGAAGGCUCAUUUGUUGAUCCUACAACCUACAGAAGCUUGAUUGGGAGUCUCAGAUACUUGGUGAAUACAAGACCUGAUCUCUCCUUUCCUGUUGGCUUGGUGAGUCGCUUCAUGGAGAAGCCAAAUUCCCAACACUUAGCCGCAGUAAAGCAAAUCCUCAGAUAUGUUCGUGGUACUCUGAACUAUGGAUGUUCCUAUGGAAGGGGAGAAGCUGAGGAACCGAGCUUGUUUGGAUUCAGUGACAGUGACCAUGCUGGAGAUGUCGAUGAUAGAAAGAGCACAACCGGCAUGGUUUUUCUCCUUGAUAAAAAUCCAAUUGCUUGGACGUCUCAAAAGCAAAGAGUGGUGGCACAAUCUUCAUGUGAAGCUGAAUACAUUGCUGCUGCCAUUGUUGCGUCCCAUGGAGUAUGGUUGGAGCGCCUGCUAGCUGAGAUGGUCGAGAGAGAACCCGAGAAGGUGAUGUUGUUUGUCGACAACAAGGCAGCAAUAUCACUGAGUAACAAUCCUGUCCACCAUGAGCGAAGUAAACAUAUUGAUAUUCGCUACCAUUUCAUCCGUGAAUGUGUGGAGGAAGGGAAGGUGAAGGUAAAGCAUGUGGCAUCUAAUGACCAACUUGCAGACCUCCUGACGAAGCCUCUGGGUCGUGUGAAGUUUGAAGAACUUCGGCGCAGAGUUGGAGUGGUGAACGUCAAAGACAAUCGCCAAGAUUAA
rnacentral:rRNA from 1 species